CUGGUGCCGGCGGCGUCACGCGCGCGCCCGCGUCCUCGCGUCCCGGAGGAUCCGCUUCCUACGCCGACAGCCACGCCAGUAUCUGCAGGGGCAGCGAAUCCAAAAUAGGUGAAGAAGCACGUCAGGCCUUAAGAUAACUCAAAACUGGUUUGGUUCCAUGACAUCAACCUUGGCACAUACGAAGAGCAAAGAACUUUGCCUUGUUUGGAACCGAGAGGAACCUCUACUUUCUCUUUUCCAUUUUUAUGAAGACAGUAUUUUUUCCUUUUAGUUGGAUGAUGUAUACUUUUAACAUUCCAGGGGGAAAGUGUCAGUGAUAUGCAAGUCAUAAUAAAAGAAAAUCAAAAGAAAUGCAAUUACAAGGGACAAGGAACUUCAUCAUUUUUAGUAUGAAAUGCCCAGAGGAAAAUCUAAUUUUAAAAAUUACCGGCACCAUAUGAAGGAGACAAGAAUAUACAGAUAGAUUUGUUGCUUUAAAAAUUAACUUAAUUCUUAAUCUUUCUGGGUCUUGGCUUUAUUUUUAAAGGCCAAAAAUUAUCGUUUGAUGUUGGAUAAGGAGUAAAGCUCACAUCACUGCGAUGUGAUACUGGGAAGUGACAAUGGAAUGCCACUGGUCUGUUUCUGGCUUGCCGGCUGGAAUGAGCAGGGCACUUAACGAGUUAUUAACAGUGAAUGUAUAUUGAGGAUGAAACCAUGUCUCUUUCCCAUUAAUAUAAAGGUACCUAUUAAAAAUGAAAAUGUGGACUUC